CGGGACUGCUCCGGUGCGGCCGGGCGGGACUGCUCCGGAGCGGCCGGGCGGGACUGCUCCGGUGCGGCCGGGCUCCCGCGGGAGGAGCGAGGCGGCAGCAGCGGCCCGGGCCUCUGUCACGCCUGGGGAGGCAGCGGAGCCGCGGGGAGAAGGACUCUCGGACAGUUUAAAAUGGGACGGGUGCUGCCCAGUGCCAAGAAAAGAGGUGCUCGCUCUGCACCAGGUGCAGAGGACUUUGAUUUGAUUUGAGCCAGCUGCCAGUUCUCCAGGAGUCACCUCGGAGGAGAGCGAGGCACAUGUGUCGAUGACAGAGAGGAAACACUUGUGCCAGCCAGAGAUGCUGAAGGCCACCCGGGGCUGUCUCCCCACACUCGUUCAGAGGCACACUUUUUUGGGAUUACCAGAGUUUGGGAAAUGUGUCUUUCUGUGUCUGUAGGUAUCCAGAGUAGCUGCCGUCAGAAAAAAAUCUGUAAAACAUCAUUUGUCUACUCUGUCUUAAAUGUUGAAGAAAAAAAGUGAUUUUUUUUUUUUUGGUUUUGCAAUAAUGGCAGUGUAAAGGCAUAUCUGAGAAGUGAAAAGAAAAAAUGGUUUAUUUAUUAUUUAGUACUUGAGACACACACUGAAAACCUGGAAUAGGAAAUAGAGAUUGAUCUGAUGCCUCAUGUACAGUGACAUUUUAGUGUUAAACUACACUCAGAAAAAAAUUAUCUGCUGUCUUUCCAUCCACUGCUCAACUUGCCACUGUCUUGCACACCAGGGUAUAUACUACAAGGGAGCUGGACAUAAAGCUUAAAUCACCUACUUAUUUUGCUCAAGGAAGUGGUGGAAUCACCAUUCCUGGAAGUCCUCAAAAAUAUAUAUAGAUGUGGCACUUGAGGAUACAGUUUAGUAGUGAACAUGGCAGUAGUCAGUUAGUGGUUGCACUCAAUGUUCUUAAAGAACUUUUACAAUCCUAAGGAUUCUAUUCAGCUUCAGCAGUAGGAUCUACAGUGCAAUGUCAGGAUUUUUAUUCAUUUUGCUCUGAUGUUUGGUAAUAUCUUGGUCAGAUAUCAGACUUCUUGGUGAUAGAUACACAAGAAUGAAGGGAUGCAUGGUCUUCUCUGCCCAGAAGAAUCUAAAAUAGAGAAAAAUCUAAACCAAAUAUAAAACACAGGAGGUUCUGUGAACUGGAUACUUCACUUAAAAUACAGAGGGUAUGUCUAAGGUACUAAAUAGCAUGAAGGACUGUUCUACAAAGACUGUCCUCUGGCUUUGAGGUCACCUGUCCUGGGCUAGUUUGUGUUCAUGCUGCUUAUGACUGUGCACUCUCAAUCUCCAGAAUACUAUGACAGAAACUGUAUAUUGUGAAUGAUCCCUAUCCACUGCUGACUCACUAAUUAUGUCUUGGCAGUGCUUGGGAGAAUGGCACAUGUCCCAUACCAAACACACAAACCAUGCAGGGACCUCUCCAACAACGUAACAGCAUCAACACUGAAGCUGCAGUGCUCAGGAAUGCUUCUGAACACCAUUUCUUUUUAAC
rnacentral:lncRNA from 1 species